rnacentral:rRNA from 1 species
GAUGAACGCUGGCGGCGUGCCUAAUACAUGCAAGUCGAGCGAACGGACGAGAAGCUUGCUUCUCUGAUGUUAGCGGCGGACGGGUGAGUAACACGUGGAUAACCUACCUAUAAGACUGGGAUAACUUCGGGAAACCGGAGCUAAUACCGGAUGAUAUUUUGAACCGCAUGGUUCAAAAGUGAAAGACGGUCUUGCUGUCUCUUAUAGAUGGAUCCGCGCUGCAUUAGCUAGUUGGUAAGGUAACGGCUUACCAAGGCAACGAUGCAUAGCCGACCUGAGAGGGUGAUCGGCCACACUGGAACUGAGACACGGUACAGACUCCUACGGGAGGCAGCAGUAGGGAAUCUUCCGCAAUGGGCGAAAGCCUGACGGAGCAACGCCGCGUGAGUGAUGAAGGUCUUCGGAUCGUAAAACUCUGUUAUUAGGGAAGAACAUAUGUGUAAGUAACUGUGCACAUCUUGACGGUACCUAAUCAGAAAGCCACGGCUAACUACGUG